rnacentral:lncRNA from 1 species
GAAGGAGAAGCAGCAGCGAAGAACAGAAGAAAGAAAAGGGAAAGUGAAGUCUACGAAUUCUUUUGUCAAAAGUUGACAUAUAUAGUGUUAAUUACAUAUGUGACCCCUAAAGUUAUAGUUAACAUUCCAAUUAACUUAUAAAUUUUAGUACUUUCAAUUUAACUCACAACCAACCUAAAUAAACAUAACUAUACUUUAUAUAAAUGAUGAAAAUUACCUGAAUCGUCACAGGACAACUAUAAUAGGCAGGUCACUCGGAGUCCUUUCUGGAAGGAUGGCUGUCUUGCCUAAAGAAACUCAGGGUGCCCGAGGACAACCCAGUUGAGCCAGGGGCUUCAUUUGCUCUUGAUUUCCUUAAGCCUCCCGUACCUUAUUCUCCACUAAUCCUUUCCAGUUUCGAGGAGGAAGAGUUUCUGAAUAGGCCGGAUGAAGACAAGGGCGCUCUUGAGCCUGUCCCAGACCCUGCCGUAUCUCUAGGCAUCGAAACUACCAAUCCUAUGGAGGAAGUCAAAAGAACAGUUGCUGAGGCAUUUGAGGAAAGGCCAGCCGAGGAGAGUGGAGUUGGUGGCGUGGAAGAUGUAGACCCCCCUUCUUGAGUGUUGACAUGCUUCUUUUUUCAUAAAAACUCAUUUGAUUUCCGUUUGGGCAUGUACAUACUUAUUUUUUACUUUGGUCUUCGUGUUAGUAUUGCCCUUCCGCUUUAUGCUUGGAUUCUUCUUUUAUACAAAAUAUAGAAA